AGCGGCCCCGGGGGCGGCCGCGGCCCCGCGCAGCGCUCCGCGCCUGGCCGCGGCCCCGCCAGCGACCCCCGCCGCCCCCUCGCCGCCGCAUUUCUUCGCAUCUUGCACUGCGCCCUUUUUAUUUUCCCCCCUUCUUCUCCUUUUUUUUUUUUUUUUUUUUUUUUUUUUUUUUUUCCCCUCCCUUUCCUCCCUCCCUCUCCCCGCAGCCGGGACCGGAGCGGAGCCUCUUCAGCACAACCCUGAUGCCUUCGCAGCCCCGCAGCCGCAGUCUACCAUACCAAAAAAAGAUUCUAGCAGGAAGUGACAAUCAAUGUAGUGCUUCCUUGAAAGAGGCAAUAUGAAAGAUGAAGAGUUUUCAAAAGAAAGAGGAUCUGGGAAUUCUCAACACUGCACGUUGGCUUUUUCACGAUGAAAAAACACAGGUUAUGCUGCUCAAGACAUUAUUCUUUUUGAAUGGAGUAUAACUGUCAAAUGCCAACCUAAGAAGUGAAAAAAAAAUGGAGCUACAGAUGUCUCAGCGCGGAGGCACUUCUGCCAAACUUUCCCUAGAUGUCGCUACACUUUUUGGCUACUUUAUUACAGCCUUUAUUAUUAAAUGGGAAACGAUCAUAUAGUUUCCUAUUUUCUUCAUAUAGAAGAAACAGAAAACUAUCAUAUAGUAACCCAGUUUGUUCAGAGUGACAAAAAGAUAUUCUAAUUAUAUGUAUAUAUUAUUCUAUAGAAUAUAUACAAUAUAGUCUACUACUGUCAUACUGAGAUUUGAAAAUAGCUUUUAUCACAGGUUUGUUUUCAUGCUCCUUUUAUCUUCCUAACACUCUUCCGACCAAGUGCAUUGACUCACUGAGUCUGGUGUUGCUUGCCCUUUUCCAUUACUUUGUCCUGAAACUAAGUAUCUCUUUACGGAUAUUCCCAAAGUUUCCAUAUUCCAGAUAUGCAUGAGUUUUCAUACAUGCUUUUCUAUUGUCUUAAUAAUCUUUUUUCAGAGAAUGUCCUUCUGCCCUUACAUGAUUUUGCCACCCAAAGACUCAUUUAUACUAUACAAAUCCUACAGCACACUAUUCUGGGAAUUCAAGGCAGGAGUCAGGCUUGUUAGUGUUUUAGCUGAUUCAGAUUUAAAACAGAGUUCUGAGAACAACAUCCUAUUUCCAUCCCUGUUUAUCACCUCUCUACAAUUCACUAUUUCUUACCUGUGGAAAAAGUCUCCAAAAGCAUAUGCUGAUUUCUGCACAUGAAUGAAGUUUCCAUAUUGUCCAGCAAUAUGAAGACUCUACAGUUUAUUGCAAAGACUACCAAAAUAUCUUCAGAUUUUCUAAGUAUCUCAGAUCUGUUGUGCUGAAGUAGUCAUCGAUUGGUUGUCCACAAGAUGGGGCUUCUACAACAGAGAUCUUUGUAUGCAAAUUUAAGAUUCUGAUGCAAAAGCUAUGAAUGGCAUCAUAGUUGACAGGAACACCUUCAGCCCGUACUUUCAAAUUUUGGCACAGGAACAGUCCUCACAAGGCAUCCCACUAUCCAUUUCUUUUGCAAAAUCAAUAAUCCUUCAGGGCAUCAAAAUACCAGCAAGUGAUUCUACCUGGUCCUUAACCCUUGCAACGUGCUGGUGUACAGCUUAUGAGCCAGCGGCAAUAUGAACCAUUACAAUCAUCCAGUGUCUUGCAGAGAUUCUGUAAGGUCAUCUACUUCUGCAUGAGCUUUUGUGGAAAAGUGAGCAGUCCAAAACACCAAAUGAGGCACAUGUUGUUUUGAGACAUUUCCUAAGUCAAUAUGUAGCCUAAUAUAUGAAUUUCUAAAGCAGCCUACAAGUCCACUGUUAGGAUGUUCCUGUUAAGAUGAUAACACCUCUAAAAAAAAGUUAGAGAAAUUAGCUCCACAGAGUCUGUAAUUUCUACAGACUUAACUGAAAGAGGGAAAAGUUUGCUGUUGCAAAAACUAACUGUAGGCAUGCACUUCAAAGCAAAUGAAAAAUAAUUUAUUAUACACAAAUUUUUUUAAACACUUUUUCAAAAAAAUAGGGAUAUAUUUACAGUACCUUUAGCUGUCUUGUUUCAGUGUGAGAGUUGUUCUUGUUUAAAGAGUAUGUGAUUUGUUCUGCUAAAAUAAAGGCCUCCCUCCUCUUUUGUCAUAUAAGUAGGCUUAAACAAUUGAGAUUUACAUGUCAUAGGAAUCUCCACACAACCAAAACCAGGACAGACUAACCGGGAUUGUACAACUAUCUUCUUGUAUCUCUUCUUAUAGUACUAGAGAGAAAUCAAGAAGACUUAAUUUAUGAUAUUUCUUGUUCUCUGCAUGAUGUUUUCUAGAAGUUUUUGCAGGAAACACAGUAUCCCAUCAGACAACAGAAGUGUCUGAGCAUGGAAAAGCAAAUACAGGUACAAAUUUCCAGCCUGCUCUCUCUGCAAGAGGAGGGUGUACACACAUGGACUAUUCAAAAAGUAAAACUGAGUCUUAAGAAGAGGAAACACUUCUGGGCAGAUGGAAAAGUUAAUUUCCCAAAGACUAACUCUUCCCCAGUGCCAGAGGCAGUCAUUCACAAUCACCUAACACUUUUUGUGCAAAAUCUUCAGUGGUUCCUUCUUCAUGUUCCUUCUGUUCAGUCUCCAGUAACUUGUCCUCUGCAAUUCAGCUAGCUUAGCCGUUACAGACCAGUUUCAACAUGAACUGCAAAACAGUACCCUUCAGAAUAAUAAUCUGGAGAAAUAUAAGAAAAUCUGAGUGGGCAGGAAUUACACAGAGAAGGAUAGGGAGUGACAGUGUGCUACAAACGGAAGUCAAUGAUGUUGUAUUAUGAAAAAGGAAGGACACUAAGUUUGAUAAAUGGCAUUUUUGCACAUACUAAAUAAUAUUCUCUUUACUCAACACUGAGUUUUUAACUGGAGUGCUCUGUCCAGUUUUGGAUGCCAUGGUUAUGGAAAAAUUGGACCAAAGAGUGAGUCUGCAUCACGGUGAAGAGUAUCAGAGAUUUACAAAUCGUGAUCCAUAGGGAAAGACUUAAACAUAGCAGCGUAACAGUUUUCAGACAUCUGAAAUCACCACAGUGGUGCAGACAGGACACGUAAUAAAGAGUUUGACUUGUAGCAAUCUUAUGCAUUAGGAGAAAUUUUGAAAUUGCAAGGGAUUAGAACACAGUACCUACAGACAUCAUUCAGUAUCCAGAAACAGUUUCAACAGUUUUCUGUCAAGGAAUGACAGAGACAUAGAUGAUCUUGGACUGGGACAGAGUUGUGUGCCAGAGGGUCACAUUCCAUAUGUUCUCAUGAAUCUUCCCAUGCAUCAUUUUACCACUCUGUUAAUGCAGACUUAUAGCUACCUACAGAAAGAAAACAGAGAUUUUAGGCUACAGGAAAAAUGGUGAAAAUAAAAAACCCAAGACAACUUAGGAGAAGGUGAACAAGAGGUGUUUUAAGUUGUGCAGUAGAAAACAUAUUCAACUUGGACAAAUGAUAAAUGCUCCAAUUCUGUUUGAAAGAGGAAUGAGCAUUUUGGAUACUGUUGUAGUGAACUGUGAGGAACAAAAAGUCUCUAAGAUAAAAGUCAAAUUCAGAUGAAACAAUAUCAUGUUCAACUUCAUAUCCCUCAUUAGUUGAGGUAAUUUUGGCUUCUGAACUUGCUACUCAAAAUAUCUAUCUUUUCCCCGCAUCUUGGGCAGAAUAUCCCUAAACCUGCAGUGACAGUACCUGAAGACUAACAAACUGGACACUGGUGAACUCUGGAAAGAGCUCGUUCCUUGCAAAUUCAGGAAGUAUUUACACACAGCAAAAAGUGAAGAAACACCAACACUUCAAUUAAAAUUUAAAAUGACAUUAAAAUGUAUUAAAAUUAAAUUAAAAUGUAAAUGUUCAGUUCAAACAUAGAUUUCUGUGUAUUGAACAUCCUCUACUUGCUGAAUGCCAGCCUGGUACUCAAGUGUCCUAAACCCUGUCAGAGGGACGUGUCAGCAAGUCACACUCCCACUCAAACACAACAGUUACCUUGCAGUAACUGUGAUGCCUUACUAUUCUGCUACUGGGAACUUCACCACACAUUCUACUUAGCCAAUUUUUCACCUACUGUCAUGUCUUCUUACUGGCAUUUUCUAAGGAUAUAAGGAAAUAUAAGAACAUAUACAUAAGGAAAUAUGAGAAUUAAAAUAACACAGCAGUAAUGCAUCUGUUGUAAAUCACCCAAGAAAAAUGAAACAAUAUAAACCAGUCUGGAAUCUUUUGGGGUUAUCUGUAUAUAAUCUACUGCAACUAAAACCAUUCCUAAAACAUUUGACCUAAACUGCCUUUCAAAGCCCUCAGUAAGCAAGAUUCCUAGGUCAUCGCUUCCAAUGCAAAACUACUUUUGCAAUUUGAAAUAAUUUCCUAAUGUCUAUCUUAAAUCUCCUACUCCAAGUCCAUCACCUCUUGCCCCAGACCCACUGAACAUGAAUAAAAAUGUAUUCCUUCUCUCUGGAGAGAAGCUUUUUAAAUUUUGGAAGAUCAUUACUACUUUUCCCAGCACUUUCCUUUUCUUUAGACUAAACAACCCCAAUUCUUUCAGUCUUUUCUCUUAGAUCAUGUUUUUUAGGUCUCUGAUCAUUCUUGAAGUUGAGACUGUGGUACACUGAAGUUGAGAUAUGUGGUACACUGAGAAAGGAAAACCGACUCCUACACAAAAUUCACCACAAAGCUGGGUGACUGAGAGUUUGUUUGAAGAGGUUACUUUUGUAUGAUGACUGUCUGCUUUGUUGUUUGCUUUUUUAAAUGCCAAAAUACAUGUUAUUCUUCUUCUUUGUGAGAUACAGUAUAGGUGCCCCAGUACAUGGAGUAGGUAGGCGUGACUCUCCUUGGUGAUAAAACAUUCCGGAUCUGGGGAAAACAGCUCCUAUGGAAGGCAACUUAUUUAUGCCAAUAAUGGAAAAUAUAUCCUUAUCAAGAUGGUAUCUUUGGGAUAAAUUGAUGUGAGUUGUAUUUGUGAUACCAGGAUAAUUUAAGCGUAAGUUUAAGUAGUUUUUAGAAAUAUCAGCAAAAUGAUGCAUCAUAAAAUGCUUUUCAGGGAAAUUUAUUAGUUCCAUAAUUGCUUUCUAGUGCUGCAUUCACUCUCUCUCUAAGAAAACAAUAUAAAAUUGUAAUAUAUACUGAGAAAUGUCUACAGUUCAGCUAAAAUCAACAAAACUAAUAAUCAUCACGUGCAUUUUAGAAGAUACUAUGUUCUUUAUAACCAGAUAAAUUAACUCAGUCAUUCCCAUAAUCAGAUUCACAUAUAUAACAGAAGAAUGUAAUUUACUUCCAUUCUCCAGAGGUAUACAAGGCCUUUUUUUCCAUUUAAAGGUUUUAAAAUUGUAAUGUGUCUUACUCGCCAACAUUACCUGAGCAAACAGCACUAUCUUAGAACCUGUGAGUACCAUGGCAUGGAAAGAUUACACUCAGAGGUUAACUGUGCUUCUGCAUAUGAAUUGAAAAAACAAUUUUAUCCAGAAGAAAGAUAAGACAUAAUAGGAGAUGAUAAGUGCUGGAAAAUAAGCAUGAUGGAAGGAAGAGAAAAAAACUUUUCCGUGAUGAGGACAGAAAAGAUCUUUCAAAAGCUUUUGUUGAGCAUGACACAUUAAACAUACCCAAAAUGUUGUCCAACAACAUCAUGACCAUGGAUCAUGUAAAAUGAAGUCACCAAAGUGUCUUUUAUCUAUAAAUAUAGGCAAUUUAUGAUCUCAAUUUUGCAGAGGAACUAUUAACAAAAAAGUUUUUAUGUCCUCAGUGCUUUUUAGAGUUUUAACUCAAAGAUAAAGGGAUUUUUUAGUAAGAUAGCUCAUCAUCUCUGGCUAGCUCAUAUGAGCCUUAAGAAUACAGCACUAUGUAACUCGUCUCCCCUCAUAUCAAAAACCUCCAAAAUAAAACAUUCUAUUGUUUGCACCCUUUAAAA